rnacentral:misc_RNA from 1 species
UCUCCGUUGGUGAACCAGCGGAGGGCUCAUUACUGGAAUCGCAAGAUCCCACAACCCCUGUGAACCUACCGAAACGGUGCCUCUGCUGGCCGCCGGCACCUCGCCGGGCGCUGAUCCCGCCGGCGGCCCCCUAUUCUUGUCUUUGCAGCGUGACAUCUCAGUAUCCCACAAAACAAGUAAAAACUUUCAACAACGGAUCUCUUGGCUCUA